UCCUUAAAUUUAAAGGAUUUGGCGGUAUUCAAGUUUAGUUAGAGGAGCCUGCCCUUUAAAUGAUGAUCCACGAAUAAUCUUACUUUGUCUUGUUACUCAGUUUGUAUACCGUCAUUAUGAAGUAAUAACUAAAGUUAUUUAGCUGAAAUAGAAAGAGUUUUAUUUAUAUUAGAUCAAGGUGCAGCUGAUGAUAAAGUGGUUGUGGGCUACAGUAUUAAUAUAAAUAGUACGGAUAAAAUUUUGAAAGAGAUUUUGGAAGGUGGAUUUAAUAGUAAAUUUAUGUUUAAUAAGGAAUAUUGAUAAAAGUUCUAAAUUAUGUCCCCUU
rnacentral:rRNA from 1 species